ensembl:lncRNA
AUGGACACGUCCAUCUUGUCCUCUUGGUUAGCCCUUGACACGUCCUCUUGGUUAGCCCUUGACACGUCCAUCUUGUCCUCUUGGUUAGCCCUUGACACGUCCUCUUGGUUAGCCCUUGACACGUCCAUCUUGUCCUCUUGGUUAGCCCUUGACACGUCCAUCUUGUCCUCUUGGUUAGCCCUUGACACGUCCUCUUGGUUAGCCCUUGACACGUCCUCUUGGUUAGCCCUUGACACGUCCUCUUGGUUAGCCCUUGACACGUCCUCUUGGUUAGCCCUUGACACGUCCUCUUGGUUAGCCCUUGACACGUCCUCUUGGUUAGCCCUUGACACGUCCUCUUGGUUAGCCCUUGACACGUCCAUCUUGUCCUCUUGGUUAGCCCUUGACACGUCCAUCUUGUCCUCUUGGUUAGCCCUUGACACGUCCUCUUGGUUAGCCCUUGACACGUCCUCUUGGUUAGCCCUUGACACGUCCUCUUGGUUAGCCCUUGACACGUCCUCUUGGUUAGCCCUUGACACGUCCAUCUUGUCCUCUUGGUUAGCCCUUGACACGUCCAUCUUGUCCUCUUGGUUAGCCCUUGACACGUCCUCUUGGUUAGCCCUUGACACGUCCUCUUGGUUAGCCCUUGACACGUCCAUCUUGUCCUCUUGGUUAGCCCUUGACACGUCCAUCUUGUCCUCUUGGUUAGCCCUUGACACGUCCUCUUGGUUAGCCCUUGACACGUCCAUUUUGUCCUCUUGGUUAGCCCUUGACACGUCCAUCUUGUCCUCUUGGUUAGCCCUUGACACGUCCUCUUGGUUAGCCCUUGACACGUCCAUUUUGUCCUCUUGGUUAGCCCUUGACACGUCCAUCUUGUCCUCUUGGUUAGCCCUUGACACGUCCAUCUUGUCCUCUUGGUUAGCCCUUGGUGUUGCCAGUCUGACAUGGUGCAGUAGGCAGUGUAACUGUUCUAACCUUCGACCUGUAUGUCUUUAUUACUAUGAGAAGAGCAGACUAGAAUGGUCGUACUCUUAACGACAACUAUGUAAGCGUGUUGUACGGUCAUGUUAUAUGGUCAUUGAGCCUGGUUCAGUUUGGCGUUGAGCAUUCCAUUGGGUUUGAGCAUGUUAUGUCAUGGUCACGUUACGGUCAUCAUGGUCACGUUACGGUCUUUGAAUAAGUCCUAGAUUCUGGUUCAUUGGGUCGGAGUGAGUUUGACUGUGCUUGAACAUUCAGGGGUAGCAUGGACUGACUGGUUUUGGCAUGCAGACCGGAUAUGAACUCCCAUCGGCCUCUUUAAGCCAAUCAAUAUAUUACAACAAUGUUCUCUGAAUUGCUCCUACGACUCAUCGAUAAAACGGAAACUGGCUUGGACUUUCCCGGUCGGUCUUCGACAGGUAGUUGGAGUUAAGGUGGCACAGCCUCGGCCUCCCACAGCCUCGGCCUCCCGGCUCAGAGCUCCAUGUAGUAACGUAAAGUUGCAGCCUCUAAAAACUGAUGUCCAAUGUGUACUGACGAGUUAGUGAACGCUUACUGUCUGCAGAACACGGCUACCAACCAGUCUAUAGCAUUAAUGUCUAGAAGAGCGAUGCGAGGGCUGAGAGCAGGUUUAACAGAAAGUAUCUGUUUGUAGAUGUGAUUCUUUAGGGUAGUAGAUACAGCAGUCGUCUUAGCACUAACGUUAAGGUGUUGUCUUUUUGGUAGAGCCUUUUACAGAUGUGGUUUGGCCAAGCCUGCGAUGCAAGACUCAACCAGACUGGAUUGUGUGCCAGCUCUCAUUUCAUGCUCAUUCAGUUUGGUAUGAUGAAUUUGAGGAUCUGGUAGGCCUAAGUAAUCGCUGGUAGCAAGGGAGGGAACAGUAGUGUGUGGGGUCAGGGUCGGGGACGGGGACGGGGACGGGAAGGUCUGUGUGCGUGACAUUCCUGCUCCCUGAGCACAGGUAGGCUUUUCUCUCAAAUCUCACAAGUCCUUCUGUGAAUGAAACGAUUGUUUGCAACUCUCCACAGAGAGACUCGGUCACACAGACUUGCUAAAUUGGACAUUUCAUGCUAUAACAGCCCUUUUUGAUUGGUUCUGAAUGUGCUUUUCCUACCAAGAAUUCUUGAUAUUCUACUGAUUUUAAUAUAUUAAUUGAAAAUAUACUGUGGUAAUAUUGUGUUCGGUCCAUCGAUGGAUAUGAGGGAGGGGUUUGGGAAAUGAGGGUGGGACAACACGUGGGGGUGGAGUUAGCGGCUGGCUUUGUUUGGGCUCGUACUCAUGAAUAUGAUAAUGAUGGAACUGCUCAAAUCUUUUAUUUGUUUUUGUUUUUUCUGUGUAAUUUGCACACUUCUUUGUGGCUCUCCCAUGGCUUAAUAAUGGAACACGGGUUCUUUAAUAACGAGCGCCAUGCAGGUCCCCUCCUGAUCCUCACUUUUUUUCACUUUUUCGCUUGUCUACUUUGGUGCUCUCUGUCUCACUGCUGAGUUUGAUCAUGAUGUUUUUUUUAUGUACAUAUUAUAAAUAUAAAUAUAUAUAAUAAAAUGAAUACAAAAGAUCAAUGUCAACAUGGGUAAACUGUCCCUCAUUCCCCUCCUCCCAUGUAAUGUGUAUCAGUACACCAGUGUUGUCAGCUAUAUGAAGGUCUGUGUUUAUACGUACAAGUCAAUGUCAACCGUGUGUGUGUCUGCAGGAGGGUACUCUGCUGGAGGUGCCGCAAGAGGUCACUUUCUUCCCUGAAUCACCACCGGAGGGCAGGAACAGAUCCUGUAUCUGCCUGGCAGCCUGCCUAUCAGCUCUACUUUGUCCUUGAUUUGACACACACACACACACACAUAAACAAAUGUUGAGAGUGAAGAAGGCCCAGACAGCUGCUCAUCUAAUGGUGUACUCUUUUACUCUGCAUGAGAGGGAAGUAAUGUGUUCAGUAUGGAGCUGCUUCAAAUAGAAUCAUUCACAAUGAGUAUUGCUUGGGAGAAAGAGUAUGCUGUGGGCAGGGAAAUGACAGCUCUAAUAUAAAGUACUCUAAUAUAGUCUUAGGACUGCUGCUGCAGACUGCUCAUUGCUGUAGGAAGACCCUCUCAGCAAAAAAACAUACCAGCUAAUUCCAUUCUAGCACUUUUUGGAUUACAUAUUAAACAAUGAAGCUACUUUUAGCAUGGCAAUCUGAAAGUCACCACAAUGAAGAAUUGCAGUCAUGUGUGUACUGAAAUUCAUAUUUGGAUUUUGAAUUCAAUGAGGUUUUGUGAUACAUGCCAAAUACAUCAUUAUUUUCAGUCAUCUGCCAGACAAUGGUAUAGACACGUAUCCUUAAGUAGCGGUCAGGCUAUAUAUGCACUGAUCUGAGAGUGUGAUACGGUCAUUGAACAGGGCCUGUAUUCAUAAAGUGUCUGGACUGCUGAGUGCAUUUUAGAUCACAGUAAAUAAGAUUACAUGGGCAGGGGGGGGGGGGAUCUGAACCAAGAUCAGCUCUCCAGGACCCUGACCUAUGUGGAAUCUCUCAUGACUAAACUGACCCAUUGUCCUUCCUUCAUCUCUCCCUCCCUCCCUCCUGUCGUUGUGGCAGGGCGCUGCUGACCUUGAGUGAGUUAUUUAUAGUGUGGUGACGCCGCAGACAGGGGGCAGGGUACCAGACACUACUCAGUGGGAGACCGAACAGACAGAGAGAG